UAUAUGGAAUAGAAAAUAUCACGUUGGACUUCUAAUCUAAAGGUCGUGGGUUCAAGCCCCACCUGGCAUAG